GUUAAAAAGCUCGUAGUUGGAUUUCUGUUAGGGUGAGGCGGCCGGCCACUCGUGGUUGCAGCUUGUUAUCACCUUGGCAUCUUGUCACAAUCCGUGAUGGCAUUAACUUGUUGUCGCUGGGGACUGACUCGUUUACUUUGAGAAAAUUAGAGUGUUCAAAGCAGGCUAUCACCUUGAAUAUAUUAGCAUGGAAUAAUAAUAUAGGACUUUGGUUCUAUUUUGUUGGUUGUUCGAGAACCGAAGUAAUGAUUGAUAGGGACAGUUGGGGGCGUCAGUAUUCUGAAGCGAGAGGUGAAAUUCUUGGACCUUCGGAAGACUAACAACUGCGAAAGCAUUCGCCUAGGAUGUUCUCUUUAAUCAAGAACGAAAGUUGGGGGAUCGAAGACGAUCAGAUACCGUCGUAGUCUCCACUAUAAACUAUGCCAGCUAGGGAUUGGUGGACGU
rnacentral:rRNA from 1 species